GAUGAACGCUAACGGCAGGCUUAAUACAUGCAAGUCGAGGGACAGCACAGGUAGCAAUACUGGGUGGUAACCGGCAAACGGGUGCGGAACACGUACACAACCUUCCUUUAAGUGGGGGAUAGCCCAGAGAAAUUUGGAUUAAUACCCCGUAAUAUAGUUGAAUGGCAUCAUUUGAUUAUUAUAGCUACGGCGCUUAAUGAUGGGUGUGCGGCUGAUUAGAUAGUUGGCGGGGUAACGGCCCACCAAGUCUACGAUCAGUAGCUGAUGUGAGAGCAUGAUCAGCCACACGGGCACUGCGACACGGGCCCGACUCCUACGGGAGGCAGCAGUAAGGAAUAUUGGUCAAUGGACGCAAGUCUGAGCCAGCCAUGCCGCGUGAAGGAUUAAGGUCCUCUGGAUUGUAAACUUCUUUUAUUUGGGACGAAAAAGGGCCUUUCUAGGUCAACUGACGGUACCAGAUGAAUAAGCACCGGCUAACUCCGUGCCAGCCGCCGCAGUAAAAC
rnacentral:rRNA from 1 species